CCAGUAGUGACGCCAUACUAGGUGACGGUGUGAACUAAAGUUCUGGUGUACAAAAAAAGUGCAUAGUAACAAAAAAUAGAAUAUUUUUAUAAUCUAUGGUAAUGUUAAAACCUAUAUACAAAGCCUUAGUUCAAAAAUGUUGAGGCCUGUGUCUAAUAUAGUGGUAGAGCCCCUUAAUUUAAAUUAUACAUACAAUUUUCUAUUUUUUUGCUAUAUUGAUUAUUAAAUAAAUUUUUUUUAAUAUUAUCCACACAAUAUAAACAGCUAAUAUAAAUAUUGCAGGCCCAAUUGAAAUUAAAUACUCAUUAAAAGUAAACUAUACUUCUAUUAAAAAUUGUAUGAUGUUAUAUUGCUGAUAUUCAAUAUGUAAAAUCAUGUUUCUGAUUAAAAUUAGGUAUUUGAAAUGUAAGAAUCGUCGUUAUGGCUGUCCAGUAUCAGAAAAAAUGGCAACAAUUGAUGAAGGAUCCCCAAUACUAAUUUAUCCAACAUAAUAUGUUCAUAGCCACGAACCUCUCGUAAUAUCUAGGUGUGUUUCCAGAUACCAACAAUUCUGAUGCUAGUUUUUCUAAUCAGGUACAGCAAAAAACAGAGGUGAAUCAAACAAACAGACACAUAAUAUAGCAUUAUUCGAUAUGUCAUUGAAACCAUUGUCUUGUGAGCUUAUGCACACAAGACAAAUAACAAGAAUCGUGCAGAAGAUAAUCAUUUUUUUGUGAUAAAUAAGGUCACAUGAGAAUUAAUUAUCAAAUUUAAAAUUACAAAAUCGAUCACCCAGCAUUGAAAAAUAUCUUUAGUAUUAUAGUUUAUGUCUUCGGCUCAUUUACCUGUAACGGACGUACUCUACCUAGGACUUUUGUUUUUUAUACAAUUGGUAUUGAGGAUCACUAUGCAAGUGCUAGUCAAAUACUUAUCAAUGGAUCCAGUUAACUAUUAACAACGCAGCAGAACCUGCCGAAUGAUGCAGUAAUCAAACCGCCUCAGGAACCUCUAACCAGACAGAUUUCAGGACUCUGAAGAUUAUCGACUGUCUAUAUUGCUGAAUUAGUAUUUGUCCAUUGCCAGCAUUCCAAUUAAGGUCACAAUCUGUUAGUUAUUCAGAGGGUAUUUGAAAUGUAAGAAUCGUCGUUAUGGCUGUCCAGUAUCAGAAAAAAUGGCAACAAUUGAUGAAGGAUCCCCAAUACUAAUUUAUCCAACAUAAUAUGUUCAUAGCCACGAACCUCUCGUAAUAUCUAGGUGUGUUUCCAGAUACCAACAAUUCUGAUGCUAGUUUUUCUAAUCAGGUACAGCAAAAAACAGAGCAUUAUUCGAUAUGUCAUUGAAACCAUUGUCUUGUGAGCUUAUGCACACAAGACAAAUAACAAGAAUCGUGCAGAAGAUAAUCAUUUUUUUGUGAUAAAUAAGGUCACAUGAGAAUUAAUUAUCAAAUUUAAAAUUACAAAAUCGAUCACCCAGCAUUGAAAAAUAUCUUUAGUAUUAUAGUUUAUGUCUUCGGCUCAUUUACCUGUAACGGACGUACUCUACCUAGGACUUUUGUUUUUUAUACAAUUGGUAUUGAGGAUCACUAUGCAAGUGCUAGUCAAAUACUUAUCAAUGGAUCCAGUUAACUAUUAACAACGCAGCAGAACCAGCCGAAUGAUGCAGUAAUCAAACCGCCUCAGGAACCUCUAACCAGACAGAUUUCAGGACUCUGAAGAUUAUCGACUGUCUAUAUUGCUGAAUUAGUAUUUGUCCAUUGCCAGCAUUCCAAUUAAGGUCACAAUCUGUUAGUUAUUCAGAGGGUAUUUGAAAUGUAAGAAUCGUCGUUAUGGCUGUCCAGUAUCAGAAAAAAUGGCAACAAUUGAUGAAGGAUCCCCAAUACUAAUUUAUCCAACAUAAUAUGUUCAUAGCCACGAACCUCUCGUAAUAUCUAGGUGUGUUUCCAGAUACCAACAAUUCUGAUGCUAGUUUUUCUAAUCAGGUACAGCAAAAAACAGAGCAUUAUUCGAUAUGUCAUUGAAACCAUUGUCUUGUGAGCUUAUGCACACAAGACAAAUAACAAGAAUCGUGCAGAAGAUAAUCAUUUUUUUGUGAUAAAUAAGGUCACAU